rnacentral:tRNA from 1 species
GCCUGGUUAGCUCAGCUGGUUAGAGCGUCGUACUAAUAAAUUUGAAAUACAAUUUAUCAAGUCCACAAAAUAUGCGAAGGUCAACAGUUCAAUCCUGUUACUGGGCA